GGGAGUGGCAAGCGUUAUCCGGAAUUAUUGGGCGUAAAGCGUCCGCAGGCGGCCCUACAAGUCUGCUGGUUAAAAAGUGGGAGCUUAACUCCAUCAUGGCAGUGGAAACUGUUGGGCUUGAGUGUGGUAGGGCAGAGGGAAUUCCCGGUGUAGCGGUGAAAUGCGUAGAUAUCGGGAAGAACACCAGUGGCGAAGGCGCUCUGCUGGGCCAUCACUGACGCUCAUGGACGGAAAGCCAGGGGAGCGGAAGGGAUUAGAUACCCCUGUAGUCCUGGCCGUAAACGAUGAACACUAGGUGUCGGGGGAAUCGACCCCUCCGGUGUCGUAGCCAACGCGUUAAGUGUUCCGCCUGGGGAGUACGCACGCAAAGUGUG
rnacentral:rRNA from 1 species